CUGUGCUGAACUGGAAAGAAAGAAAUGUUAUUUUUUCCAGGAUGAAAGCAAAACAAGAUCUCUCCCUGUUUAUCCUGUCUCACCCAUUUCUAAAGAAGGUGCCUGACUUCCAAACGCAGUGGUUUGGUGUGCAGAAAUGCUGAGCUCCCAGUCUCAGCUGAGACAGGCAGAGAGAUGCUUCAGUGAUUCACACCAUCAUGUCAUACAAGCACUGGAGAGUUUCAAAGGGAAAGCUGCAGUGUGACUUGGACGACUGUGGGACCGGGACCUCCUCAGCUCUGUUCCCUGAGUUGGGUAGAUAUGAACCCCAAGAGAUCCUCCUGAACCCUAGAGACCUACUGACAUGUCCCAGUGAAGACAGUGGUGGAGCCAUGGACUUUUCAUCCCCACAGGUGUUGUUACCCUUCUGGAAGAGGGUUUGGUGUCAGGCAUUGCCAUGCCCAAACAAGCCCAGAUACCUGGUGGGCUCAAACCAGGACAGGGCGAGGGAGCACCCGACCCUGGCAGCCACCCCUGGAGGCCAUUGUCUCGGUUUUUCUUCAUCAGCUGCAUCUUGCACGGUGCGUGUAAGCUGCAGGGCUUGGAGCCAGGCAGAGCCAUACCCCGAGAAUCCCCCGGGCAUCUCCAGACCAUGUCCACAGCCAACAUAGGAAAUUCCGGCGAGACCGGACCCUCCCUCGCUUCCUCUGGGGGCCUGGCGCUGCUCACCAGCAAAUCCUCUCACUUCUCAAGAUCUUUGUGUCAGGCUGCGGCUGCUAUUUUUGAGCUGACAUUCCCCGGGUUUAAUCCACUUAGCCUGUGACCACCUUCAUCAGCUUCCCGCAAGCACAGCGCACAGCGAGGCUGCGAGAUGCUGCCUGCCGCGCUCGCUGUCCUCUCCCGCUGCCCCACCGCCCCCCUCGGGAACGUGUAUUUAUAAAGAGGUGGAUUAGGAACAUUACCAGGCAGGUCACAGGGUGUCAAGCUGCUCUUUCAGGGCUUAAAAUCGGAGGCUCACUCAGGAAGGAGCGCUCGGUUCCUGUGAAAGCGGCAGGGAUGACUGCUGCUAUGUACGUGCAAUUUACUCUAUUAGCAGCACCGGUGCUUCAGCCUGGAGCAUUUAGAGACCCUGUUCCUGUAAACAAAGCAAUCAGGAGGUGUAGAAAUGCUUUGCUUUAAUUUUCCUUUUCUUUUUUCACGUGGGGAAAAAAAAAAAAGGAGUCUUUUUAAGUGCAAUGAUGCAAAUCCACCUUGCUGUCAGUGAGCACUGGGUGAUUUAUACCUGCCAAGGAGCCCAGACCGUCAUCCCCUCGAAGCUGGGCAGCCCCAAGAGCUAUUAUGUCCAUUCUGAUCUGACUGGGGGAGAGAAGAGAGGUGCCCACAGAGGUGCCACCUGCCAGGUCACCUCGUGGGAAGCAGAGCCCAGCACCCGCUGGCUCCACAGUGAUGUCCCAAUGCCUGAGACCACGCACAACAUAUUAGACACCAUCAAAAACACGUCAGGCCAAGCUGUGGCUACAGACUGUGGGGAAAACACUCCACCUCAGUGCCACGUUCUUGCAGCUUGUAAAUCAGAAGCAGCCAUUUCCCUUUGGUGUGCUGCAGGGAUCUGCACGAAGGCAAAUCCAAAGUGCUUCGUCAUUCUGCUGAGCUCUAAUCCCAUCAGCAUCUCUGGCCACUCCAUCAAUCGGAUUAAAAUAAGGCUGAAAGUCAGCAUACGGCCGGUUCAGCCGCGGGGAGCAGGCCCUGCGUGGGCAGAUGCACCACCGCCACUCAGCCAAGCCCCACGCUGCCUGCAAGCACCCAAGGCUUUCACCACCGCAGCGAUUUGAGGUGGCCAGAGCUGCAGACAGGGCAGCCCAUGUUCAGCAUCACCACAGAGAGGUAGGGGCUGGGCCUUUAGCCCCCUCCUGCCCCUCCAGAGCCUCUGUGCUGUUAAUGGAUGAACUAACUGUAGCAUGCCUGUCAGAGCCUUUCAUGUUCAUGCCGAAAGUUAGCCCAAAAUGUUCCAGCAGAAAAUAUUUUCCAUGAGAAAAUGCUGCUUUAACAGAAUCUAACCCUCCUGGUGGAAACCUGUCGACUGUUGUAUCCUGUGGUAGAAACCAGAUGGGUAUAUAUAAGGAUCCUGCCUUCAUCCUGGGACCACUGGCAGCAAAAAUAAAGAUCUAUUCAAGGUCUCUCUCGUACUUUCUCUGCCUUUUCCCAACUACAAAAAUAAUUUCUUUUUUUUAUCUUUCUGUCCCAUUUUUGAAAGUUUUUAUUCCUUCCGCCACCCUAAGAAAAGCACAACAUAUGUGGGAACUGGAUUCUGCCUCCAGCAGCUCAUUUCAUGGCCCAGAUGGGCACAUCCUUUCCAUCUCAGAGAGACACCAGGUCUAUGACCUCACACCACCUUCACCAGCAUGGCUCAAAUGAGGACCGAUGGGUUGGAUUCGGCCCUAAAGCCUGUUCCAAGCGGCCAGCUGCUUUUGCCUGGCUGGUCCUUGGGAACAUAUACCUCUUCAUACCCAAACACAUGAACAGCAGGUCCCCAGGGCUGCCACAUCGUUUGACACACGCAGAAGGGCUUAACACCAGACUCAAGCCCCAUCAUCCCAGAACACCAGCACCUGUACUUUAACCUUUCCUGAGGGUUUGGAACAUCAUUAGGGGUCAAACCUGAUCUCCCAUCCAUUAAUACAAAAACUGAGACCACCCCUGUUUUAUCUGCUCCAAAGGGGACACCAUAUGGAAACCUGUCAGCCCUCAGAAGCUCCAAGGAUCUCCGCAGCAAGAUCCUGUCUGUCUGAAGAAGUUACCUUGAGACUUCACCUUUUGAGUGCACUUAGUGACAAGCAGAGUUGACCUCUGUGGUGUUCACAGGGGACAAACAGUCCUUUCUUUUGCACAAAAGCACAUAAAGACAAGAUUAGGUGAGCCAAACUACCACCUCUUAAUGACUUACAGAGACCCUCACUCUUUCUAUUUAUAAAAUCACACUGUCUUGGCAAUAGGAAAGAAAGAGUUGGCAUCAUUUUUAUAUUUUCUAGAUCUGUCUAAAUUCAGCCUUACUGUUUUUUCCACUGUACUUUUCUCCAGAAAUCAGCCCACACUUCCCACUCACUGUUGCUGCCACAACUCACCUAUAGAUUUUUCUUUCAUUAAUUUUCCCAAUAGGCAAUUGCUCACAGAAACCGUAGGAAAUAUGAAGCUGGGAGACUUCUCAAGAUGUGAUGUGAACCGCAUUUUCUACAAAAAUGCCCAGACUCUAACAAUCUACAUGCACUUAUCACCUCUAUGAAAAGAUAACAGGACUCUAGUGCCUUGAGGACUGGGCUGUCUGCACGGUAUGUAGGUGACACCCUGGACAGUUUGGGAAAAUCAGAUUCAUCCCUCUUUUCCUACUUUGUAAAAUGGCAGUAUAGAGAAUUACAGGCUGUAACUGAGAGUUUUCCAUAGACCUGUGAAC